AGAGCGAACGCUGGCGGCAGGCCUAACACAUGCAAGUCGAGCGCCCGUAGCAAUACGGGAGCGGCAGACGGGAUAGUAACACGUGGGAACGCGCCCUUCGGUUCGGAAUAACUCAGGGAAACUUGAGCUAAUACCGGAUACGCCCUUACGGGGAAAGAUUUAUUGCCGAAGGAACGGCCCGCGUCCGAUUAGCUAGUUGGUGAGGUAAUGGCUCACCAAGGCGACGAUCGGUAGCUGGUCUGAGAGGAUGACCAGCAUCACUGGGACUGAGACACGGCCCAGACUCCUACGGGAGGCAGCAGUGGGGAAUAUUGGACAAUGGGCGCAAGCCUGAUCCAGCCAUGCCGCGUGGAUGAUGAAGGCCUUAGGGUUGUAAAGUCCUUUUAACGGGGAAGAUAAUGACGGUACCCGUAGAAUAAGCCCCGGCUAACUUCGUGUCAGCAGCCGC
rnacentral:rRNA from 1 species